GCGGGCCUGGCGGAGGACAGGGGCGGGCGCCCCGGCUGUCGCAGGUCGCCGUUGCUCGUGGGAGGGAGGAGGUUGCUAUGCAAAUGGUGCGGCCUGCGGAGGCCCCCUUACCCAGGGGCCCUCCGGUUGCCAAAACAGACCAUUCCCCCCGAACAGUCGCCUGGAAACGGGGCGCUGUCAUAGCAGCCUCGGGGUAAUGGUGAGCCAGCCUGCUGCCAGGAGGAGCUGGGUCACGAUGUGCCGAACUCGGCCGCGUCGCCCUCUCCCUUCCCACCAGUCUUCACCUCCGGGAAGGGCGUGGCGGUUCGGCCUCCGCCGGAGAGGAGGGGGAGUAAUUGGAUUGGAGAGCUCCAGAAACCCAUCAGCUGCUGCUCUCUGGGGACGGGGAGGCGGGCGGCCGCAGCCCGGCUUUGUGAUGGGUCUCAGCCCCUCGCGGCCCUGCAGCCCGGCCCUGACCUGGUGUGCUGGGUCUAGGACGCGGUGCGGGCUCCCUACGAGGCCAGAGGACGCAGACAUCCGUCAGAUGAUCGGCAGAAUGGAAUUCGGCUCUGAUGGGGAACGCGGAGGACGCUGGGGAGACCUGACCCGGGUUGGAGGGUCUGGGAAGACCGGGGUGGCCGGCCCGUGGUCACUCAGUGCCUAGCUGCUUCAGUCUUUGAAGACCUUGUCUGUGUGUGUGUGUGUGUGUGUGUGUGUGAACGUCUGGGGCGGGGGUGGACGUAUAUACGUGAAUGCAGGCCUGUGGGAGGCCAGACACGUGAGAUUCCCGGAGCGCUGGAGUAAUUGGCAGUUGGGAGCCGCUGGGAAUUGAGCUGGGGUCCUAUACAUGGCCGGUGGUGUGCUGGUUAACGGCUGUGCCAUCUCUUCAGCCGCCACGGUUUGGGAGUUGGGGUUUUGUUAUUGUUUGGUUUGGUUUGAUACAGGGUCUUUCCUUGCAUCCCCCAUUGGUCUAGAACUUACUCACUUUGUAGACCAGGCUGAUCUCAAACUCACAGAAACCCACCUGCCUCUGCCUCCUGAGUGCUGGGAUUACAGGCGUGUGCUGCCGCGCCUGGCUUGUGAGGCAUUUCCUGUGGGUGCUGGGAACCAAACUGCUGGCCAGCAACAAGAGCCAGCGCUCCUCCAUACCCAGGUUACACCCUUCACCCGCCGCCACAGCCCCACACAACCCAGGGCAGGCACGGAGGUUCAGGCCUCUGAUUCCAGCAGAAGCAGGUAGGCGGAUCAAGAGUUCAGGGUCAUCCCAAACUACAACGCGAGUUUGAGGUCACUCUGGCCGGUCUGAGACUGUUGCAAUAAUGUAAUGACGUCAUCCUGUAUUUGUAGGGGGACAGCCAAGCCAUAGUUCAGGUGACACCCAUCAUGUCUAUCUUGUGAGCACCAGCAUCCUUUGAUCAACUUUUCCGUGCGUCCGUGGGUGGGGUUUUCCGAAGUCAUAAAUCACACUUCUCCAAAACGAAGGGCAGAGAUUCACUUCCCCAGAAACCCUCGCAGUUAAGGUGUAGGCAUGGGACCUAGGUUCCCCAGUCAGCUACAGGCAUAUGAGGUUUUGAUCUGGGGGAGAGCAGCUGAGCAGAAAGAUAAUCUGUAGGGGAAGAAUUUCCGGAGCUUGGGCCUCCAGAACAGCAGGAAGGCCGUCCCGGCUCGGGAGAGGAGAGGCAGUUUGCAGGGAAGGAGGUAGACCAGGCUGGCCUUGAACUCGGAGCUGAAGUUAGAGGCCGUUGUGAGCAGCCCUCUCUGGGUGAUGGGGGCUGAAUUUGGAUCCUCUGCAAAGCUCUUACUGUUGAACCAUUGCUCCAGCCCCAGGAACGUGUGUUUCUCCUUCUUUUUCUCGGUGUGGAGGAGCUAACCCGGGUCUCCAUCCUUGCGCAGCAGACACUCCACCAACUGAGCCCUCGCCCUCAGCUCCCCUGUUCCAUUUUUUUUUCAAUGUUGAGAACUAACAGUAACAAAUGUUUGCGCUGACUGUGUUGGUGCACACUUGUAAUCACAGUGCCCAGAAGCUGAGGCAGGAAGAGCCGUAGUUCAAGGUCAGCUUUGACUGCAUAAGGAGCUCAGUCUGGGCUACCUGAGACCCUGUCUUAAAAUAACACUAUUACGUUAAAAACAGCAACAGCAAAACAAAAAAAGCCCUCAGAGCCAGGCGAGGUGGUGCACGCCUGUGAUCCCAGCACUCGGGGAGACAGAAGCAGGCAGGUCUCUGUGAGUUCUAGGCCAGCCUGGUCUACAAAAGCAAGUCCAGGAUAGCCAGGACUACACAGGUUAACUGUCUUGAAAAAAAAAACAAACCAAAACAACAACAACAACAGCACCUCAGAAGGCCAGGUGCAGAGUUGCUUGAAGUGUGGCGAGGUCAGCUGGGGAAGCCAGCUCCCCAACACUGGACUGCACCCUGCACUCAGCCGCCCUCUAGCACCAUCGGUCCGAACGCCCUGCCCAGCCUGUCUUCUGAGUCCUGUGCCGGCCAUCUGCCUGUCAGGCGUGCCUGGCUCAUCCUGCCUUGUGACACUGCUCUGACAGUUACCCAACAGUCCCAUUUUCCCUUGAGCAAGGAUGACACUCGCACUGUGACUCGUCUGUUGCUCUGCCCUCUCUCAGCUCUGGCCUCCGUGGCACUGACUGUCCCUCGGCUGGCAUGUGCCAGUGCCUGGCUCUAAGGCUAUUUCUCAUGGGCUGUGUCUGGUCAUCUGUUGCCCAGAAGGGUUGAGAAUCACAGAUCGCGUAACCUUGGCAAACUGGACUUCUCACAGCCAGGGAAAAGUGGGGAAGUUUUGUUUAUGGAUGAGAAUCAAGUUUAUUUUUAUGUUUAGUUGUGUGUAUGGGUAUAUGUGGGUCUGGGUAUGGGUAUGUGCAGGGGAGUCCAGGUGCCCACCAAGGGAGGGCAUCGGAUCUCCUGGAGCUGGAGUUAUGGGAGAUUAUGGAGUUGCUGUGGCUCCUGGGAGCUGAAUUUAGGGCCCCUGCAAGAGCAGUGAGGGCUCUUAACCAUAGAGCUGUUUUCUCGGGCAUGGAAACCCUGUUCUUCAUCCUCACACUGAUGAGUUUCCCCACGGUGAAAUGUCAAGAUUUCCCAAGGAGAGUCUUUUGUUCCCGGCAGAUGGCCUGUGGUGUGCCUGGCACCAAGUGGAUUGCUAUGGCCAGAACUGGAUGAGGCCACAGUCCCCCUGCCCUUUUAUAAUAUAUUCAUCCGAUGAUGAACCAGGACGAGAUUCGUGGAUAUGUGGGCAGAUGGACUGCCCCAGCCAUUGGACCCAGCCAGCAGUCACCUGCCUGAGGACGACGAUGAAUUAUUGUAAGAAGCAAGCACCUGGAUCUCUCCGGGCAGUUUGAACCUGGCACCCGCUUCAACACGCUGGGUUUUUUUUCUCACUAGAAUCUCCCCAGCGGACCGAAUCCUAAAAAUAAAUGCUCUUGUUUGCAAGACAG